UACGUAGGGUGCAAGCGUUAAUCGGAAUUACUGGGCGUAAAGCGUGCGCAGGCGGUCUUGCAAGACAGAUGUGAAAUCCCCGGGCUUAACCUGGGAACUGCAUUUGUGACUGCAUAGCUAGAGUACGGUAGAGGGGGAUGGAAUUCCGCGUGUAGCAGUGAAAUGCGUAGAUAUGCGGAGGAACACCGAUGGCGAAGGCAAUCCCCUGGACCUGUACUGACGCUCAUGCACGAAAGCGUGGGGAGCAAACAGG
rnacentral:rRNA from 1 species